rnacentral:rRNA from 1 species
AACGAACGCUGGCGGCAGGCUUAACACAUGCAAGUCGAACGAAAGCCUCCGGGCAUGAGUGGCACACGGGUGUAUAGCGCGGGAGAAUGUACCUCGGGUUACGAGAUAGCUCCGGGAAAGUGGAGAUAAUAGGGUAAGGUUCCCGGGGGACAAAGAUUCAUCGCUAAGGGGUGGGCCCGCGGUGGAUUAGCGAGUUGGUGGGGUAACGGCCUACCAUGGCGACGAUCCGUAGCUGGUCAAAGAGGAUGAUCAGCCACACUGGGACUGAGACACGGCCCAAACUCCUACGGGAGGCAGCAGUGGGGAAUAUUGGACAAUGGGCGAAAGCCUGAUCCAGCAAUGCCGCGUGAGUGAUGAAGGCCUUAGGGUUGUAAAGCUCUUUUACCCGUGAUGAUAAUGACAGUACCGGGAGAAGAAGCUCCGGCUAACUCCGUG